rnacentral:rRNA from 1 species
UUUACCUGGGUUUGCCUGCCAGUAGUCAUAUGCUUGUCUCAAAGAUUAAGCCAUGCAUGUCUAAGUACAGGCCUACCCAAGGCGAAACCGCAAAUGGCUCAUUAAAUCAGUCAUGAUUCAUUGGAUGUUGAUGAAUCUUUUACUCGGAUAACCGUGGCAAUUCUAGAGCUAAUACGUGCAACUGAGCUCCGACCCCGCCAUACCAGGCGGGGGAAGGGCGCAUUUAUUAGAAUCAUAAACCGAGCGGACUUCGGUCCGUCUCAUACGAGGUUGUGAUGACUCUGAAUAACUAUGCCGAGCGCUGAGGCCUUCGUGCCGGCGCCGUAUCUUUCGAGUGUCUGCCUUAUCAGCUUUCGAUUGUAGGUUAUACGCCUACAAUGGCUGUAACGGGUAACGGGGAAUCAGGGUUCGAUUCCGGAGAGGGAGCCUGAGAAACGGCUACCACAUCUAAGGAAGGCAGCAGGCACGCAAAUUACCCACUCCCGGCUCGGGGAGGUAGUGACGAUAAAUAACGAUGCGGGACUCUUCCGAGGCCUCGCAAUCGGAAUGAGUUCACUCUAAAUACUUGGACGAGGAUCCAUUGGAGGGCAAGUCUGGUGCCAGCAGCCGCGGUAAUUCCAGCUCCAAUAGCGUAUAUUAAAGUUGCUGCGGUUAAAAAGCUCGUAGUUGGACUUUAAGAUACGUGCCGGCGGCCCAUCCAAGGCGCGCCCUCGCCGACCCGCUGGGUUGGGGGGGUCGGGACGCCCGUACGCGCGCGCGCGGGGAAUGCAAGGUUUUCCCUUCUUUCCCGCCGUCGCUGCGGUGCCGCUCCUUUUCCCCCCCACCCUUUCGACGCAUAUCCCUUAACCGUGGUCGUCCUUCACGCCGUCAUCUUCAUCACCUUCCUUUCCUUUCACUCAAACCACGCGGAGACUAGUCGCUCACUCUCCCCCAUACAAAGCCCAUUCGACCUCUGUGAACGCGGUUCUCGGUUCAUCAGCGUUUCCUUCCAUUAUAUACCCCCCAUUUACCAACCUUCUCGGCGAUCGCGGGUCACCGACGAUUAACCUCGUCGCCCCCUUUCGUCGGAGGGAAUGGGACGGUCCCUAUUUUGGGCUAAAAGGAUUCGCUAUCACGUUGUUCCGUCCCGCGUUUUUCAAGUCGAGUCGGGUAACGGGGGAAACAAGGGGAGUGUACCCUUCGUCGUCGGUUGAAGGGGUUCAUAAAGGUCGCGUCGUUGUCGUUACGGCCGUCGGCUUCCACGGAGGGUGUGACUGAGAGUGGGGUCCCGCGAGCGGCGGGUAAGCGCGCCCGGUGGUUCACUGGCCGGUCACGAAUUUUUAAAAGCCGUCGGCUCUCACGGGGUGCUCUUUACCGAGUGUCCCGCGUGGCCGACACGUUCACUUUGAAAAAAUUAGAGUGCUCAAAGCAGGCAAACGUUAUAGCCUGAAUGUCGAUGCAUGGAAUGAUGGAACAGGACCUCGGUUCUGCAUUUUUCUCUCGGUUUUCCGAACCCGAGGUAAUGAUUAACGGGAACGGACGGGGGCAUUAGUAUUGCGACGCUAGAGGUGAAAUUCUUGGACCGUCGCAAGACUAACUACUGCGAAAGCAUUUGCCAAGAACGCUUUCAUUAAUCAAGAACGAAAGUUAGAGGAUCGAAGGCGAUCAGAUACCGCCCUAGUUCUAACCUUAAACGAUGCCAACUGGCGAUCCGCUUAAGUCAUUCCCACGACUGAGCGGGAAGCCCCCGGGAAACCAAAGUCUUUGGGUUCCGGGGGAAGUAUGGUUGCAAAGCUGAAACUUAAAGGAAUUGACGGAAGGGCACCACCAGGAGUGGAGCCUGCGGCUUAAUUUGACUCAACACGGGGAACCUCACCAGGCCCAGACACCGGAAGGAUUGACAGAUUGAGAGCUCUUUCUCGAUUCGGUGGGUGGUGGUGCAUGGCCGUUCUUAGUUGGUGGAGCGAUCUGUCUGGUUGAUUCCGAUAACGAACGAGACUCUACCCUAUUAACUAGUCGGUGGAUCGUAUCCCGAGACGGGUUCCCUACCGGGGGGUUCGGCACGGUACUUCGGGCCUCCGGCCGCGGCGUCCUUCCCCUUAAAGCGGCGGGUGCGGCGUCCGUCGUUUGCGUCUCUCUUCCCCUCUCCUUUACCUUCAUUUUCCCCCCCUCCUCGGGCGGCCGUCGCGAUCGCUUCGGCGUGAGGCGUGCGGGGUGGUUCGCCACCCCCUCUCUCGCGUCGGACGGUUCGCGGUCGUUCGGGUUCUCGGUGGGGGAGGGUAGGUCUUGGACGGAAAGGGUUGCACGCGCGGCGUGGCGUUCCUCCGUGCGCGUAGGGGGGUUAAAAAAGGGGGCGUCGUGCGUCGUACGAGGAAUCGCGUCCGCGCUCGCUACACCCCUCGCGUAGGGCCCAGCGAGGGGCGUCCUCCGCAACAUCUUCUUAGAGGGAUCGGCGGCGUCCAGCCGCACGAGAGAGAGCAAUAACAGGUCUGUGAUGCCCUUAGAUGUUCUGGGCCGCACGCGCGCUACAAUGAAGGGAUCAGCGUGCUUUCCCCCUCCGAAAGGAGCGGGUAACCCGGUGAAACCCCUUCCCGAUUGGGAUUGGGGAUUGUAAGUGUUUCCCAUGAACGAGGAAUUCCCAGUAAGCGCAAGUCAUCAGCUUGCGAUGAUUAAGUCCCUGCCCUUUGUACACACCGCCCGUCGCUACUACCGAUUGAAUGAUUCAGUGAGGGCGUCGGACUAGCGCCCUCGGUAGCCCUCGGUUCCUCGCGCUUUUACGCCGUCGCCCUUAUUUUAGGGGCGUAUGCGGGCGCGGCCGACUAGGCACCCCGGGCCGCCGGAAAGACGUCCGAACUUGAUCAUU